UCCACAAGGAAUGGGGAAAGGGAGAACCAACGAGAACAACAAAAUGCGUGCCUUCCGCAAGACUGCCAGAAUAGAAGGAUAAUCUCUUUUUGAAAUUUUACAUGAAGAAACGUUUGAAAUUCAACCGCAAUCAAAGCUCCCACAUUUUCCCAUCGAUCUGGCAGCUCUAUUAAUGAUCGCCAUCGACCAGCGUUGCCACAUGCAUCGCAUCGCUUUUGAAGCGCCAGCAAGUGAUUUGCGGCCACAGAUUACUUACGUAUGCGGCAAAUGACCAAAACAUGUUGCGCCCAGCAGCAGCAGCGCAGCUAUAAAAAAUGCGACCAGCUGCGCAGCAACAGCGCCAAAUUGCAGUUGGAAAUAAACCAUGACAAAAGGCCAAGGCAAGGCAAGGCAAGGAAGCGACAGAGAUGAAGCGCGACCUGAGCUGGCGCUGGCUGGCUGCAUGUGGAUGUGAACGCCAGGAAACGCUAAGGCGACUCGAUAUGCAUGCCGGAGCUCGUCGUCUCGGUGAAUUAUUUAAACAAACGGACGAGGAAGUAGCAGCAGUGACAAACAUCAAGCGCCAGUUUUUCAUCAUCAAUCUCAUACACAAAAAACGGACAAUUGACGAGGAGCAGCAGCAGCACCUCCGUGCUGCAUUCUCCAUUCCUCCUUGUUCUGUUGCUCUUGCUGCCACUUGUUAGUGGUGCUUCUGCUCAACGAUGGUAAUUUGUGUGUUGGUCGUGCGACAAGCGGACUGCAAAACGACCCAGAGCCAGACCCAGAGCCAGGAAGGAGACUGGUAGCCGGUGCCAAGGGCUAGCAUGUGAAGCGACAAGCGGAAGGCAAACUUCACAUCGUUGACGACAGACUGCCAGACGGCACAGUGGCACACGCGCACACGCGCACACUCGCACACUCGCACAUUGGCUGCCCCCCACACAAAAGCAACCAGCAGGAGGAGCAUUUCCUUUUGCAUGCCGAGCGACCACUGUGCCACGAUGAAGACGUCGGAAGUUCUGGGGCGGAGUACUGGAGGGGCCUUGCAACUUAUCGCAUACAAUGCGCAUUAGCAGUGUCCAUUCGUUCCAUCCCAUCCCAUUCCCUCCAGCGGACACAGGACACAGGACGAUGGCUGUUGCAGCCAUUCAGGAGGGCAGGGGAACGAGGAUGGGCACGAUGAGGAGUAGGAGGCAAACCAGAUUGAAGCAGUUUGACGAUCGAGUCCGCCGUCUCAUGGCCAGACACAGACGAAGAUGGGGAAGCAGGCCGUGAACGCACAGGCUGCUCGGCCAUGGUCUGGACUCUCAGUUCCUUGACGCGAUGCGCAUGGCGCAA